rnacentral:rRNA from 1 species
GUCUUUUUGGGUAUAAUUUAAAGUCUAAUCUGCCCACUGAUAAAUAUUAAAGGGCUGCAGUAUAAUGACUGUACAAAGGUAGCAUAAUCAAUAGUUUUUUAAUUGGAAACUUGUAUGAAAGAUUUGAUGAAAUAUAAACUGUCUCUUAUUUAUUUUUAGAAGUUUAUUUUUUAGUUAAAAAGCUAAAUUAAUUUUAAAAGACGAGAAGACCCUAUAGAGUUUUAUAUUUAUUUUUAUUUUAAAAUUAUAUAAAAAUUUUUAUUAAGAUAAAAUUAAUUAUUAUAUUGGGGUGAUAGAAAAAUUAAAUUAACUUUUUUUAAAAAAUAAACAUAAAUAAAUGAUUAAAUGAUCCAUAAAUAAUGAUUAUAAGAAAAAAUUACCUUAGG